UAGUAACGGCGAGUGAAGAGGGAAGAGCCCAAGAUUGAAAGCUGGCGUCUUCGGCGUCCGCAUUGUAAUCUCAAGAAGUGUUUUCCGCUUCGGACCAAGCCUAAGUCCCCUGUAAAGGGGCAUCAUAGAGGGUGAUAAUCCCGUACAUGGCUUGGAGCGCCCGAGGCUUUGUGAUACGCUUUCUAAGAGUCGAGUUGUUUGGGAAUGCAGCUCAAAAUGGGUGGUAAAUGCCAUCUAAGGCUAAAUAUUGGGGAGAGACCGAUAGCGAACAAGUACAGUGAUGGAAAGAUGAAAAGAACUUUGAAAAGAGAGUUAAACAGUACGUGAAAUUGCCAAAAGGGAAGGGUAGGAGGUCAGAGAUGCGGCCUGGGAUUCAGCCUUGCUUUUGCUUGGUGUUUUUCCCAGAUUGCAGGCCAACGUCGGUUUUGGGCACUGGAGAAGGGUAGGAGGAACGUGGCACCCCUCGGGGUGUGUUAUAGCCUCCUACUGGAUACAGCGACUGAGACCGAGGACAGCAGCGUACUCGCAAGAGCGGGCCUUCGGGCACCUUUACGCUUAGGGCGUUGGCAUAAUGGCCCUCUACCACCCGUCUUGAA
rnacentral:rRNA from 1 species